ACUUACCCAACUCUAGUUUAGGGUUUUAACUUUUACAAUAUCUAGGGUUUUCAAAAGGAAAUACCUCUAUAUAAACCCUUCAAGGUCGCCUCUUUUCUUCAUCCUCUCAUCUUAGAACUGCCAGCCCCCCCAAAGUUCCAGUGAGCCAAUGAUGAUAUAAUCCACUUUGGAUGAGGUGCAGUGGAGCCAAGAACGAACCUACUUGGCAGAAGCUGCAAUUCAAUGGUUUUAAUGGAUUCAACUGAGGCUACGUCUUUUUAAUUAAAUGCUUUUAACUUGGUGUUUCUUGGGUUUGGGUUUGAUUGAGUUUAACUAUACCCUAAACUUUUUGCUAUUAAUUUCGGUUUAGGGUCUGAAAAACUCAUAUAGUCAUGUGUUGUCAUCAGCUUCUUCUCUUGCACUUUUCACGAGAUUGGAGUUAAAUAACAGCACUACAUUUUUCUUUUGUUUAUUUUGCAGGUGUGGCAUGAAUUCUUAGGUUCCUGAGAAGUUGGUUGACUGUUUCCACUUUAAAAUUGUGUAUUUUGUAGGCCAUUGUAUUAUUGUGUGUUUCUUAUUGUAAUGAAGUGCAAAGAUUAUCUGUUACUUCUUAGCCGGAGCUCUCUCUACUGUGUUCUCUAUCAUGUUUUUCUCAGCGCAAUAAAAAUAAAAAUAACUGAACUAAAAA